GGCCUCGUGGCUCAGCUGGUAGGGCGUGCGCUGUACAAAAUCGUACGGGGCGUCCGUUCGUUGGUUCGAAUCCAAACCGAGGUUA
rnacentral:tRNA from 1 species